CAUUCCACAGUGCAAACAGCAGCCAGAGCUUCUCACAGAUGAUACUAGCAUUACCUUUUAAGUCUACCAGGACAUUUUCACAAUGAUUUGUGACUGGCUCAAGUCCCUCCAGUUGUGAUAAGGGGAAAAGAGGGACUGGAACCCAGAGGAUCUGAUUCCAAAGCUAUCCUUUCUCUCACUCUCUCAGAUGGUCUCUGCCUUCAGGUUGCUCACAGGCACCAAUAAGGGUGGAAGGGGCAGUCUACAGAGCCACAGAGUCUGUUGAUACUGUGCUGUCACUCACACCUCAGACCAAGCUGGCUGCAGUGCUGCUUCCAUCCAAAGACUUCCCUUGAUUGUAGGUUGGACAACAUAUGUUGGUACCAUGUUCCAGCCCUGCCUGUCCUCAUCUCUGACUCUCUUGAGUGAAGACUUUGGACAUCUUCACUGAUACCUGCAUUGCUGAUGACCAUUCCCUACACAUCCCACUGACCUGCUGCCCUGGCAGGUCCUGGAAGGCACUUCCUGGAGAGACAGACCCCUGGAACAGCAGUGAGCUGAAAGAAUCAGUGUCACCCUGACCCUGUGGUACUGGAUGUUUCAUAGCAUCGUAGUAGGGUUAGUUUGACUUAUGUUAGAACAUAAAUAUGUAUUAUAUCUCUUAAAAUGACCUAUUUGAUAGACAGAAUUAUUGAGUAUUUUUGAGGAUAUCUCUAGGGACAUUAUAAAAACUAUAUAGAAAUAAACAGGGUACUAUCAAUCAAGAAAAUUGGGGGAGCUCUGCCCUCAGAUGAGGCAAGCAUAAGAAAUGUGGCUUACAGAGCUCCCCCAGUGAUGUCAUCUAAGCCCACUGGCAGUACUACUGUGUCUGUCCACUUGUUCACUCUAACAUAUGCUAAGCUCCUACUGUGUGCCAAAUACUGUGUUCAGGGAUCUCAAGGACAAGGUCCUACUGUAGUACUUGGACUAGUAACUGGACAAAAAAUUCCCUCAAAAUUUUGAUGAACUGCACUGACUGAGAAGUACAGAACCAUGGCCAUGGUCCCUUGGCAUGGCCACGGCACCAAGUGUAAAACUGCCAAAGGACAGACAUCUUUAUAGCAGAAACCCCAGUUAAGACGAUGAAUAACUCCUGUCAGGAGACUCAGAGAACAUUACAGAAAGGUGAUUCUUUCCCUGAGUAGCCACAAAUGCUGGGCUACAGGGCCCCCAAGACACAUCCUAUGUGAGAGAUCCUCACUUUUCCCCGCCCACUGCCACUCCUCUCCUCAUCUCACCGAGGCCACAAGGAAUAGCAGGGAGAAGGCAGCAGUGUGAGAGGCAGAGAAAGACCAGAUCUUUUCACUAUGGAGUACUAUAAUUAGGAAGUAGAAUCCAACCAGAGCGAUCAAACCAAAGACCAAAAAAGACCUACAUCUGCUCUUCGGAGGGAAACUGAGAAGAGAUCUGGGAGUAUCUGAGGUAGAGCCUGGGCUACAGAUCAGUUUCGUGGAACACAAAUUGAAGAAGCCCCUGUGAGCCCCUUUCUGACUCCCAACAGAUAUGUGGCAGUCUCCAGAGCCCACUCUAAUUCUUCUCUUAGAAAAGAGAAAUUGUGAAUUGUUUGAUUAAAUUAUUAAUUCACAUCAACACUGAUACUAAUACAUCCAUGCUUCACCAUAAGAGGGAAUCACUGACAAAACAAAAGACUCCAGUCAGUUUACAUACAGCUACCAUUCAACACACCUAUUCCAGGCCUAAGAAUCUACCUGAGGAAAUAAACCACAUGUCUACUGAAGCCUGCUACCCUGGUAUUUACAGCAACUUUAAUCUGGGUUAAUAACAAAACAACAACAAUAAAACCUAGCAGCAACUCAAGUGUCCAUCAACUAACAUCAUACGUCUCUAUAGGGGAAUACUAUUCACCACUUAAAAUGAGCAGUGUGUCUAGGCAUUGACGGAUGGAUCUCAAAAUUACCAUUCCAGGUAAAAGAUGCCAGACAAAAAGAAACAUAUUCUGUAUAUUUUGAUGUGUGUGUGUAUGUGUGUGUGUGUGUUUUUUCUCCCUAGGGGAGUACCAGCUAAUUCAUAAUGAGAGACAGCAGAUCAAUGUUUGUCUCUGUGGCAGGGAGCAACAUGAAAGAAGACAGCAAAGAAGGAUCACAAAAAGAAAGGAUGUGGAAAUUUAGAAGGUGAUGAAUUUGUUCAUUGUCUUUAUUGUGAUUAUGGCUUUUGGGGUGUGUAUGAUGUCAAAAGUGAGAACACUGUACACUUUAAAUAAAUGCUGUUUGCUGUGUUCUCGCUGCACCUGUUAGGAAAAUGGUAGUGGAGAAUGUUCUGGAAAGCUGUACGCAGGAAUAUAAAUUGAUGGAUUCCUCUUGGAAAGCAGUUUGGCUUUUCUUUGAUACUACUUUUAAAUCUGUAUCCUAGAGACAUAAAAUGAGAUACAACAGUUUUACUCCUGGAUCAUUUACAAUGGUGGAAAAAAGCUCGGAAACACUAAUGUAUUUGAUGAAAAACAAACUGUCCCAAUAAAUCAUGGUAUCUCACAUAUUGAAAUAUUAUGCAGCCAUUAAAGGCCAUGCUUAUGAGAAGCUUUUAAUAACCUGGGAGAAUACUUAUGUGAUGGUGCCAAGUAGAAAGCACCAGGAUAUAAAUUGUAUAUGUGGUGUGAAUUGAAUUAUGUAAAAUUAUGCACAGAAAAAAACCUCUGAAAUAUCUUUAGGAUUAUUUCUGAGUGAUAUAGGGUAUGGGUGAUUUUUUUUUAAUCUCUUAAUGCAAAUUUCAAAAUGUCCUUAUUUAAAAUGUAUUUCCUUAAUUUUCUACAAUAAGACUAUAUUUUUAAAUUGUGAAAUAAACAAGCUAUCUUCAAGG